rnacentral:rRNA from 1 species
UACGGAGGGGGCUAGCGUUGUUCGGAAUUACUGGGCGUAAAGCGCACGUAGGCGGCUUUGUAAGUUAGAGGUGAAAGCCCGGAGCUCAACUCCGGAAUUGCCUUUAAGACUGCAUCGCUAGAAUUGUGGAGAGGUGAGUGGAAUUCCGAGUGUAGAGGUGAAAUGCGCAGAUAUCAGGAGGAACACCAAUGGCGAAGGCAGCUCGCUGGGACGGUACUGACGCUGGAGGCGACGAAAGCGUGGGGAGCAAACAGG